UUGCUCACAAAGUGGCUGUAAUAUGCUGAUGUAACGAUCAUAUCACAGCCAGCUUUGAUGAGCGUUG
rnacentral:pre_miRNA from 1 species